CUCCUAAACCUCUCAUGUCCUCAUUUCUAUAAUGAAUCCAUGCCUGCAGCCGAGACCAGUUUGCAGAUCUGCUGGCCCAUGGAGCCAAAAGUCCCCUGGGCAUCCCAGCAAGGAACUCCCUCAGCGUGAUAAUUUUUUUUCCUCUUUUGUUUUUCUGUUGUUUUUUUUCUUUUUUUUCUUUUUUAAACCUCACUGAAUGUAGUGACUCACCGCCAUUGAAGAGAAUGAAGGAGAAUGUGCCACUUCUGAGACUGAGUCAUGGGAAGCACCGCGGCCUCCAUCUUGGAUGAGAAGCAACAAGGAACAUGUAAAUGAGAGAAGGCAGAGAGGACUGUGACAAGGAGUCUGCGACUUUGGCUGUGCUAGGACAGAAGAGGCAGUUUAAGACACUGAAAGAUGGACAUCAAGACAAAGGGUGGAAGGUGGUGAGGAGAUGUAGGACAUCUCUAACCUGCUGAACACUUUCCUCCACUGGCACAGACCGCAGUCUGGCUUCAUUCCUGCCUCCCUCUUCAGACAGAGAGCUCCCAAACUGAGGACCUGUAUUUGUUCAUCUGGGGACCCUAAGCCCCUGAAAGAAAAUAUCUGGAAGAAUAUGGUACCCAACUGCUACAGUGGCUACUUCUGAAAAGAGAUUGGAAAGACAGAGAGGGGAUUUUCCAGUUCAGAAAAGUGAAAUCAGGUGCUGGAAGGUAAGUGCUCUAGAAUGUAUGUGAAAUGACAAAAGUGAGAUAGAAAACUUCACAUCACAUACAAACACAGUUUCCUAAGACACCUACCAUGUAUGUUCACUUCGAAAAAAUAAAAAUAUACAAAAAAUUAAAAGCAGUCAUCUUUAGAUGGUGGGUCACGACUGACUUGUUUUCUUUGAUGCUUUUUCUGUAUUUUCCAAAAUGCCUACAAGAAAGGUUUAUUAUUUUCACCAAUAAACAUGUACGCUUUUUAAAGGAAAAGAAAGUGGGGCACCUGACUGGCUCAGAUGGUAGAGCAUGUGACUCUUGAUCCUGGGGUUGUGAGUUCAAGCCCCAUGAUGGGUGUAGAGAUAGAUUGCUUUAAAAAGAAAAGAAAAGUAAAGAAGCAUACCCACACUGAGUUUUGUUAGUGUGAAGGCAUGCAUGCUCCUUAGCCCUAUAACCCAGGGGAAAUUUACUGGGUUCCCUGACCACAGAGCAAGGAAAUUUCUCCCCGUGGCAGGUGAGGGAGGUCUUACCCAGCCACUCACAGACUGUGACUGAGGCUCACAGGUGCCCGGAUUGAAAUGGGACAAACCUGUAUAAUCGCGCUUUCCAGACGUGCUCACUCCACACCGAGUCAUCCAUCCACUGGGCGCACAGGCUGGCAGUUCUUGUUCAUUCACUGUGAAUGUCAUCACCUGUCCCCAGGCACAGUGACUUCUGGCUCAUCACACUGCUCCCAAUAGGUUUAGGGAUUAAUCACCUUUGAAACGAAAUCAGGCAAGUUUGAGAUAAAUAGACAAACAUCACAGAAAUUGAGUUCCCUGUGUAUGUGUUUCCGAAGGCAUGGUGCAUAUCCCAGAAGACGGUGUAUAGGCUAGAAAGCAAGUUCAAGCAUCAUGACUGAUGUCUCCUGACAGCCAGGGAGCCUCUCCAGACAGUAAGCUAAGAGAGCUGUACUUACCAAUUUUGUCCUUCACAAGUGAGGAAAACAGAGAUAUUGUCAUAAAAGCUUGGAACGAAAAUCAACAGGGUGUAGACCCAGAGCACCCUAAUUUGGGUAGAUGGGGUCAUCCUUCAUUGCACUGAGGUCAAGGAAUCACUUCCA